rnacentral:rRNA from 1 species
GAUGAACGCUGGCGGCGUUCCUAAUACAUGCAAGUCGAGCGAACAGACGAGGAGCUUGCUCCUCUGACGUUAGCGGCGGACGGGUGAGUAACACGUGGAUAACCUACCUAUAAGACUGGGAUAACUUCGGGAAACCGGAGCUAAUACCGGAUAAUAUAUUGAACCGCAUGGUUCAAUAGUGAAAGACGGUUUUGCUGUCUCUUAUAGAUGGAUCCGCGCCGCAUUAGCUAGUUGGUAAGGUAACGGCUUACCAAGGCAACGAUGCGUAGCCGACGUGAGAGGGUGAUCGGCCACCCUGGAACUGGGACACGGUCCAGACUCCUACGGGAGGCAGCAGUAGGGAAUCUUCCGCAAUGGGCGAAAGCCUGACGGAGCAACGCCGCGUGAGUGAUGAAGGUCUUCGGAUCGUAAAACUCUGUUAUUAGGGAAGAACAAAUUUGUAAGUAACUAUGCACGUCUUGACGGUACCUAAUCAGAAAGCCACGGCUAACUACGUG